rnacentral:rRNA from 1 species
CGGCGAUACCCGAAUGGGGAAACCCAGUGUGAUUCGUCACACUAUCAUUAACUGAAUCCAUAGGUUAAUGAGGCGAACCGGGGGAACUGAAACAUCUAAGUACCCCGAGGAAAAGAAAUCAACCGAGAUUCCCCCAGUAGCGGCGAGCGAACGGGGAGGAGCCCAGAGCCUGAAUCAGCAUGUGUGUUAGUGGAAGCGUCUGGAAAGGCGCGCGAUACAGGGUGACAGCCCCGUACACAAAAGCGCAUGUGCUGUGAGCUCGAUGAGUAGGGCGGGACACGUGGUAUCCUGUCUGAAUAUGGGGGGACCAUCCUCCAAGGCUAAAUACUCCUGACUGACCGAUAGUGAACCAGUACCGUGAGGGAAAGGCGAAAAGAACCCCGGCGAGGGGAGUGAAAAAGAACCUGAAACCGUGUACGUACAAGCAGUGGGAGCACCCUUUGGGUGUGACUGCGUACCUUUUGUAUAAUGGGUCAGCGACUUAUAUUCUGUAGCAAGGUUAACCGAAUAGGGGAGCCGGAGGGAAACCGAGUCUUAACCGGGCGUUAAGUUGCAGGGUAUAGACCCGAAACCCGGUGAUCUAGCCAUGGGCAGGUUGAAGGUUGGGUAACACUAACUGGAGGACCGAACCGACUAAUGUUGAAAAAUUAGCGGAUGACCUGUGGCUGGGGGUGAAAGGCCAAUCAAACCGGGAGAUAGCUGGUUCUCCCCGAAAGCUAUUUAGGUAGCGCCUCGUGAAUUCAUCUCCGGGGGUAGAGCACUGUUUCGGCUAGGGGGCCAUCCCGGCUUACCAACCCGAUGCAAACUGCGAAUACCGGAGAAUGUUAUCACGGGAGACACACGGCGGGUGCUAACGUCCGUCGUGAAGAGGGAAACAACCCAGACCGCCAGCUAAGGUCCCAAAGUCAUGGUUAAGUGGGAAACGAUGUGGGAAGGCCCAGACAGCCAGGAUGUUGGCUUAGAAGCAGCCAUCAUUUAAAGAAAGCGUAAUAGCUCACUGGUCGAGUCGGCCUGCGCGGAAGAUGUAACGGGGCUAAACCAUGCACCGAAGCUGCGGCAGCGACACUGUGUGUUGUUGGGUAGGGGAGCGUUCUGUAAGCCUGUGAAGGUGUGUCGUGAGGCAUGCUGGAGGUAUCAGAAGUGCGAAUGCUGACAUAAGUAACGAUAAAGCGGGUGAAAAGCCCGCUCGCCGGAAGACCAAGGGUUCCUGUCCAACGUUAAUCGGGGCAGGGUGAGUCGACCCCUAAGGCGAGGCCGAAAGGCGUAGUCGAUGGGAAACGGGUUAAUAUUCCCGUACUUGGUGUUACUGCGAAGGGGGGACGGAGAAGGCUAUGUUGGCCGGGCGACGGUUGUCCCGGUUUAAGCGUGUAGGUGUGUGUUCCAGGUAAAUCCGGUUCACUUUAACACUGAGGCGUGACGACGAGGCACUACGGUGCUGAAGCAACAAAUGCCCUGCUUCCAGGAAAAGCCUCUAAGCAUCAGGUAACAUCAAAUCGUACCCCAAACCGACACAGGUGGUCAGGUAGAGAAUACCA